rnacentral:misc_RNA from 1 species
CCGAGUUUUAACAAACUCCCAAACCCCCUGUGAAUAUUACCUACUCCUGUUGCUUCGGCGGUGUUUCGCCCCGGGCGCGGGCCUCACCUUUGGAGGCCGCCAGCCCCGGAACCAGGCGCCCGCCGGAGGUCCAACUAAAAAAAACUCUCCUGUAUCAUUCAGCAUUUUAUGAAAUUCCCCAUCGGAUAAAAACGAGAAGGGAAAAAAAAAACAAAAACAAAAAUUAAUCA